CCGUCGACAGUCAGGUAACGAGCGAGACCCCUGCCUCUAGUUGCUACCAUUAUUCUCAGGAGUAGUGGAGCUAAUUAGAGGGACUGCCGUCGCUGAGACGGAGGAAGGAGGGGGCUACGGCAGGUCAGUAUGCCCCGAAACCCUCGGGCCACACGCGGGCUGCAAUGGUAAGGACAAUGAGUUUCAAUUCCGAAAGGAGGAGGCAAUCUCUAAACCUUACCACAGUUAUGAUUGAGGGCUGAAACUCGCCCUCAUGAAUAUGGAAUCCCUAGUAACCGCGGUCACAUUCGCGCGUG
rnacentral:rRNA from 1 species